GUGCCAGCCGCCGCGGUAAAACGUAGGACGCGAGCGUUAUCCGGAUUUACUGGGCGUAAAGGGUGUGUAGGUGGCUGAGCAAGUCGAAGAUGAAAUCCCAGGGCUCAACCCUGGAAUUGUCUUUGAUACUGUUCAGCUUGAGGGUGGUCGAGGAAGACGGAAUUCCCGGUGGAGCGGUGAAAUGCGUAGAUAUCGGGAGGAACACCGGAGGCGAAGGCGGUCUUCUGGGCCACUCCUGACACUGAGGCACGAAAGCUAGGGGAGCGAACGGGAUUAGAUACCCCGGUAGUCCUAGCCGUAAACGAUGGGCACUAGAUGUUCCCACAUUUUGUGGGAGUGUCGAAGCUAACGCGUUAAGUGCCCCGCCUGGGGAGUACGGUCGCAAGGCUGAAACUUAAAUGAAUUGACGGGG
rnacentral:rRNA from 1 species